GAUGAACGCUGGCGGCGUGCCUAAUACAUGCAAGUCGAGCGAACAGACGAGGAGCUUGCUCCUCUGACGUUAGCGGCGGACGGGUGAGUAACACGUGGAUAACCUACCUAUAAGACUGGGAUAACUUCGGGAAACCGGAGCUAAUACCGGAUAAUAUAUUGAACCGCAUGUUUCAAUAGUGAAAGACGGUUUUGCUGUCACUUAUAGAUGGAUCCGCGCCGCCUUAGCUAGUUGGUAAGGUAACGGCUUACCAAGGCAACGAUGCGUAGCCGACCUGAGAGGGUGAUCGGCCACACUGGAACUGAGACACGGUCCAGACUCCUACGGGAGGCAGCAGUAGGGAAUCUUCCGCAAUGGGCGAAAGCCUGACGGAGCAACGCCGCGUGAGUGAUGAAGGUCUUCGGAUCGUAAAACUCUGUUAUUAGGGAAGAACAAAUGUGUAAGUAACUAUGCACGUCUUGACGGUACCUAAUCAGAAAGCCACGGCUAACUACGUG
rnacentral:rRNA from 1 species